AUGUUAUGGGAUGGUAGGUGGUAUAGGGGAGAUGUGGAGGAUGGUAGGUGGUAUAGGGGAGAUGUUGAGGAUGGUAGGUGGUAUAGGGGAGACGUUGAGGGUGGUAGGUGGUAUAGGGGAGACGUUGAGGAUGGUAGGCGGUAUAGGGGAGACGUGGAGGGUGGUAUAGGGGAGAUGUUGAGGAUGGUAGGUGGUAUAGGGGAAAUGUGGAGGGUGGUAGGUGGUAUAGGGGAGAUGUUGAGGGUGGUAGGUGGUAUAGGGGAAAUGUGGAGGGUGGUAGGUGGUAUAGGGGUGACGUUGAGGAUGGUAGGUGGUAUAGGGGAGACGUGGAGGGUGGUAGGUGGUAUAGGGGUGACGUUGAGGAUGGUAGGUGGUAUAGGGGAGAUGUUGAGGAUGGUAGGUGGUAUAGGGGAGACGUGGAGGGUGGUAGGUGGUAUAGGGGUGACGUUGAGGAUGGUAGGUGGUAUAGGGGAGAUGUUGAGGAUGGUAGGUGGUAUAGGGGAGACGUCGAGGGUGGUAGGCGGUAUAGGGGAGACGUUGAGGAUGGUAGGUGGUAUAGGGGAGAUGUUGAGGAUGGUAGGUGGUAUAGGGGAGACGUCGAGGGUGGUAGGCGGUAUAGGGGAGAUGUGGAGGAUGGUAGGUGGUAUAGGGGAGAUGUUGAGGAUGGUAGGUGGUAUAGGGGAGACGUUGAGGAUGGUAGGUGGUAUAGGGGAGACGUCGAGGGUGGUAGGCGGUAUAGGGGAGAUGUUGAGGAUGGUAGGUGAUAUAGGGGAGACGUUGAGGGUGGUAGGUGGUAUAGGGGAGACGUUGAGGGUGGUAGGUGGUAUAGGGGAGACGUUGAGGGUGGUAGGUGUUGGGGAGACGUUGAGGGUGGUAGGUGUUGGGGAGAUGUUGAGGAUGGUAGGUGGUAUAGGGGAGAUGUGGAGGGUGGUAGGUGGUAUAGGGGAGACGUCGAGGGUGGUAGGCGGUAUAGGGGAGACGUUGAGGGUGGUAGGCGUAACGAGGGAACCUAUUCAGUAG
rnacentral:lncRNA from 1 species